AGAGCCCUCUAUGGGCCCCUAAGCCUAUCGGUCUGUGUUAUUACUCUCAUGGUUUUCAGUUUUGCUGGCCAAGAAAAAAGACCCAAAGGAGUAACAUAUUAUUUUCUACAAAGAUGUUCUAAAACCACUCAGGCCUGUGAGUGAAAUGAUUUGCUGCACUGCAAGGGAGUAUCCAGUCCAGCCAGAAGAAGAGCCAAAAGCUCUCAACACCUCUUGACCAAGAAUGUGGUGAUCGAAUCGGACCUGUACACGCACCAGCCCCUGGAGCUGCUGCCCCACCGCGGAGACCGCAGGGACCCUGGCGACGGCCGCAGGUUCG
rnacentral:sRNA from 1 species